AGGACGAACCUUAUUGAUGACUCGCGACUUGUGUUCGUUUUCCGGCUUCGGGAUCGCCGUCGCCAACACGGAAAAACCAAUCAGAAUUUGGAGAAGCAUGAAUAUUUGCAUAAUUCACGUAAACACCGGACGAACAAAGAAACCAUUUCUGAUGGUGAUGCUGGAACGCCUUUGCUCCAUAUCGCUAACAUCAUUGCAUGACCGAGAUAGACUCGAGGAUGUUGGAUGGUCGAUCGCCUAACGAAUCAACCAGCCUAUGAUUACGCGUGGCUGGGCCACGUAACCACCAGCAAACGAAUUGUUUACAAAAUAAUUAUUUAAAAUCGGAUUUAGUAGUGAUCACCUAUUGGAUUAUUUCAUAAAAUAAUAAAGCAUCGAUCGUUAGGUCGGCGGAGAGGGCUGGAGGGGGACUAGAUAGGACCUAUUGCUUCAGAAGUCCUAGCGCGGUCAUCGUUUCUAGGAAAUGACAGCAGCACAAAAAUUAAUAUUCGGUGGAUUAAGAGCAAAUAAAUAGCAAAUAAAUAUGGCGCAAAGAUGGCAUUGAUGUCUUUGUUAUGUCUUAUGAUACAACAUGUGGCUACGUUAGCUUAAUAUUAAGCUAGAGCAGCCACAGUUUUUCGAAAACGACUGGGGCAAAAAAAUUAGUUCUUUGGCAAAUAAUUAGCAAAUAAAUAGCAAAAAAAUAUCGUGUUAAUUUAGCAUUGGCCAUUUGAAAUGGCUACGCCAGCUUAAUAUACGCAUAGCAUGUAUUAAUUUGAGAAUGAGUAGAGAAUAAUAUAACAAAAAUUUGAAUGCGUUUUAUAUUAAGUAUCGCGGAUUGUAUAUUAUAAUGUCCGUCAGGUUGAGACUUGGGUUAAUUACGCAGUAUGCGGUUAACUUAUUAUCGUCACAGUUAAUUAAGAAGAUGUCGUUUUCUAGCUAGAAAAAGACAACGCACUCGCAACGUGUAUUCUGUAUGUAUCCGCAGCCCUAAGUCUAAUUUUAGACUCUAAAUCUGUAACGAUAUUUCAAUUUCCUGUGGAAGUUUACAAAGUUGAUAGUUCAAAUUUCAUUCGCCCAACGCAAGAGUAACCAUUCUUAUAAUUUUAUAUAAUUUUUUAUUAAUAUAAUUAUAUUAGGGUGUUUCUAUUUAAAUGUUCUACCUUGUAUAAUGGAAUAUUAAAUGAAAUAAAAAAGUCUAAAACUC